CACCCAUAAGUACAGGAAAUCCCAUUGCACCAAAUGCCAGCUGCGCAGCAUGACUUUCUGCCACAACAGAUUGAAGCUCAGCCAUGGCUGUCCUCCUGUCCUCUGCUAGAACACCAUUGCUUAUUCGGUCGAGCAACCGUUCAACAUAGCUAUCUUCGUUUGAAGGAGAAUUCUCAUUGCCAAAAACAAGCCCAACGACCCCCUUGUAGCGAGAAGCCAAAUCCAUCUUGCUAGGUUAGCUUGAUAGCGGCAGAACACGUCGAGAAGAAGAGCGAGAGUAGUAGAAACAAAAAUUGC
rnacentral:misc_RNA from 1 species